UGUGUCUCGGUUUGGAGUUUGGACUCUCGGUUUUGAUUGUAAUAUCUCUGGCUAGUUUUUUCCCUUAUUCCUGCAUCAAUUCUUAAGUGCAAGAGACUUAGAGCCCUUGAUAAGGCAUCCUAAUGUUGUAACUUUGAAAGCUUACUACUGGUCUGUAGAUGAGAAGCAGCUCAUAUAUGAUUACAUUUCCAAUGGAAAUCUUUCCACUGCACUUCAUGGGAGGUCUGGAACAGAGUCAUUCACACCCUUAUCAUGGUCUGUUCGGCUAAAAAUCAUGAAAGGAAUUGCUAAAGGCCUCAAGGGUACUGAAAUUGGAGAGAAAUAGUCUGGAGUAUCUUCUACACCACUUUUGUGGAGUAACUGCUAAUAAAGAGUUGGUUAUAAUAACCCUACUCUCUAAUUUGUUCAUAAGGGAGUAAUAUUUUCCUGUACGUUUGUUGUUUCAGGUGCGAAUAACUGCUUCUUGGGCUUUGGCAAACAUAUGUGAUUCUAUCCGGCACUGUAUUGAUACUCUUGCUUUGGAAGGCUCCACAGGAGCCAGAGUCCUUGGGAUGCUUGUUAGAGUUGUCAUGGAAUGGACAGAAGUCACUGUCAUUGAAAGGGGCAACCCCUAAAUUCCUAGAAGAUGGUGAUAAAGUUAUCAUCACUGCUUUUUGCAAGGUUCUUUGAUUCACUAAGACCUCUCUUUUAUUUUUCUAUUUAAUGUGAUAAACACUCUCUAUUAGUACCAAGGCACUCAAAGUACUAAGUCAUUUGCUCUAGAAUGUUUAAUUUCUCUAUACUCAUUUUGAAAAGAUACAUAAUCUA